ensembl:lncRNA
GAUCCCUGGUCCAGAAGAUCCCACGUGCCGCACAGCAGCUAAGCCCGUGCCCCCCAGCUCGUGAGUCAGAACCACCGAGUCCACGUGCUGCGGCUGGAAGCCCGUGCGCCCAGAGCCUGUGCUCUAAACAAGAAAAGUCACUGCAGCGAGAAGCCUGUGCCGCGCAGUAAGGAAGAGCCCCCGCUCUCACGACUAGACACAAGCCUGUGUGCACGAACAGAGACCCGCUGCAAACACAACUCAGGGAGGCGGCAAGCGUGGCUUUAACCCGGGCGCCCGGAAGCCUCUGGUUCCUGUGGGGCUGGGAGCAGACACCGGCUGACCGCCUCGGCGAGGAGCACGAACAGCGGUCAUCUGGGCCUGGGCCCCCUCCCGUCCCAUCCAGCAAACGUCUCAAGUCCAGGGGAGCCACAGCUUAUCACAGAGGGAGCACAGAAGGGAUGCUAUACGUGUCUGGGCUGCCAAAUUGGGGUUCAAAACGACCUCAGGGGCCAGGCAGAGAAAACUGAGCAAAGAUCAGUGGAAACGAAGGACAGUCCUGUAGCCAGUCCGAAAAGGCAAGCGUGCAAGGGCGAGUGGGAAGACGGAGCCCAGCCAGCAGCGUCAGUGCCCGCCGUGACGAUGGACGUCGCCGCCGCUAAGGGAAAAGUCUCUAAGCUCUUGGAAAGGAAAAAAAAAGACAUCAGAAAUUUAAAAAUGUAAUAGAAGCAUUAGAAGAUAAAUUAAGGACAUUUACCAGAGAGUAGGAUAAAAAAGACAAGGAAAAAAGGGAAGAACAGAUGAGAAAUUCAUCCCAACAGCUGAAUCACAGGAGUUUUAGAACGACAAUGAAGGAUAUAAAAUAACUCAAGAGAAUACUCCAGAAUCAUAGAACGUGAGCUUUCACACUGAAAGGGCCACCAAGUGGCCAACACGACAGGUGUGACCUGGUGACAUUCUUGAUGCUGAAGACAAAGAAUUCCUACCAGGUCACAUGCAAAGAAGGCGUGGCCUCCACCGCAGCCCUGAAAGCUAGAAGACAAUGGAGCCAUGCUGUCGAAGUUUUGAGGCAAAAAUGACUUCUUAUCUAGGAUCCCACACUUAAUCAAGCAGGAGUUGGACGUUUCAGACAUGCAUGGUUCAAAAAAAUUUCCCUUUCAUGCACUCUCAGAAGUCUCCGAAAAUAUAAGUCAUCAAAAAGAGGGAAGGAAGCAAAAAAAUGAGAAGACAUGAGAUCCAGAAACAGGUGAUCCAAGACAAGAAAGAGGCAAGGGAAUUUCGGGCUGACGGUAAGGGGUGGGGGUUCCUGAGACGGCAGCCACGCACCCCUGCCCCCAGAGCGGGAGGGAAGGAAGCCUCCCAGGGCACGCUGAGAGAUCUGGACACCUGGCAGGGUUGAGAGGUAAUUAGUGCUACAUCUUAGAAACCUAAAUGUACGAAAAAAACAAGAAUCAAACCGGAGAGAGACGCUGGAAAGGAAAAGCCAUCCUAGCUGACCCCAGGGCUUAGCUCUGACGUAAGGGCAAGAACACAGCUAUGGGUCUACCCGAAACUACACUCCGCCUGUGGUGGGAGCAAGGGAGCGUGGGGAGCGCACACGCACGUAGGGGAGAAGAGGGGGCCGAGUCCUCACGUCCUGGCGGGGCGUCAACAGAUAACCCCUGAACUGAAAAGCCAGGAAGCAGCAGUACAAACCUGCUGCUGAUACGUACAGACAGGUGUU